rnacentral:rRNA from 1 species
GACUACUGGGGUAUCUAAUCCUGUUUGCUCCCCACGCUUUCGUGCCUGAGCGUCAGUGCUGGACCAGGAAGUCGCUUUCGCCACUGAUGUUCCUUCCGAUAUCUACGCAUUUCACCGCUACACCGGAAAUUCCACUUCCCUCUUCCGCACUCCAGCUUCGCAGUCUCGAAUGCAAUUCCCAGGUUGAGCCCGGGGCUUUCACAUCCGACUUACGAAACCGCCUACGCACGCUUUACGCCCAGUAAUUCCGAUUAACGCUCGCACCCUCUGUAUUACCGCGGCUGCUGGCACAGAGUUAGCCGGUGCUUUUUCUGUGGGUUAAGUCAAUUCCGCGACGUGUUGGGUCGCAGACCUUCCUCCCCACUAAAAGUGCUUUACAACCCGCAGGCCUUCUUCACACACGCGGCGUCGCUGGAUCAGGGUUGCCCCCAUUGUCCAAUAUUCCCCACUGCAGCCUCCCGUAGG